rnacentral:misc_RNA from 1 species
GAUGAAGAACGUAGCGAAAUGCGAUAAGUAAUGUGAAUUGCAGAAUUCAGUGAAUCAUCGAAUCUUUGAACGCACAUUGCGCCCCUUGGUAUUCCGAGGGGCAUGCCUGUUCGAGCGUCAUUAUAACCCCUCAAGCUCAGCUUGGUGUUGGGGCCUGCUGCACUGGCAGCCCUUAAAAUCAGUGGCGGCGCCAUCUGGCUCUAAGCGUAGUAAUUCUUCUCGCUAUGGAGUCAUGGUGGAUGCUUGCCAUCAACCCCCAAUUUUUCUAUGGUUGACCUCGGAUCAGGUAGUGAUACCCGCUGAACUUAAGCAUAUCAAUAAGCGGAGGA